AAUAUUAAUGUGCAUCUAUUUCCACUACUUUAUAGGGGAGAAAUGUGCUUGGGGGACUUUCAUCUUUAGAUUUCAGUGAAUUGGGUGUUACCAGAAACUUACAGCGAACCAACAAAAUACGAAAUGUGCUCACAGGAUCUCCCUGCCAGAGCCUGCGGCCUUAUGCAUACGUAUCUUGGACUGAUGAACUAGACCACAAUUAAGCCCACCAAUCAAAACAAAGCUAUGCCUUCAUCCUUCAGAUAACAUACUAAUGAGGGGGACCAGGGCCUGUCUCUACAAUGACAAGGAAUUCACCACCUUGAGGGUCUUCUGACUCUAUGUGAACUCGGCAACAUCUGAAGACCUUGCCCGUUCCCCCUUCUCCUAUGUGUCUCCCUCCUUUGCUCUGAGACCUUGUCCAUCUGACACUCACUGGGCCACAUUGAUUUCUUCCUUUCCCGAAGACUGCUUGCAUUAAUCCCAGACCCGACCGCUCACAUCCGCACAGCAGUU